rnacentral:misc_RNA from 1 species
AAGUCGUAACAAGGUUUCCGUAGGUGAACCUGCGGAAGGAUCAUUAACACGUUUCCAACGUUUUAAAACUAAAAAUUACUUGCGUGAACCUUUUUCUUGAUUAUUUCAAGAAAAAAUUUUUCCUCCCUUAUUUUUUAACGCCCCUUUAAUUAUACUGAACUAAAUUAAGAAAGAACAAAAGUGAAAGAUUAGCAAUAGUCUUUGUGUUUUGUUUUAUUUUACGAAAUGCUGAACAACUCUUAACAACGGAUAUCUUGGUUCUC